CAGUCGACGAAGCACUUUAUUUGAUUUCCUUCGGGACUGAUUAUUUUGUGACUGAGUGGCGGACGGGUGAGUAACGCGUGGGUAACCUGCCUUGUACAGGGGGAUAACAGUUGGAAACGGCUGCUAAUACCGCAUAAGCGCACGGCAUCGCAUGAUGCAGUGUGAAAAACUCCGGUGGUAUAAGAUGGACCCGCGUUGGAUUAGCUAGUUGGUGAGGUAACGGCCCACCAAGGCGACGAUCCAUAGCCGACCUGAGAGGGUGACCGGCCACAUUGGGACUGAGACACGGCCCAAACUCCUACGGGAGGCAGCAGUGGGGAAUAUUGCACAAUGGGCGAAAGCCUGAUGCAGCGACGCCGCGUGAGCGAAGAAGUAUUUCGGUAUGUAAAGCUCUAUCAGCAGGGAAGAUAAUGACGGUACCUGACUAAGAAGCACCGGCUAAAUACGUGCCAGCAGCCGCGGUAAUACGUAUGGUGCAAGCGUUAUCCGGAUUUACUGGGUGUAAAGGGAGCGCAGGCGGUGCGGCAAGUCUGAUGUGAAAGCCCGGGGCUCAACCCCGGUACUGCAUUGGAAACUGUCGUACUAGAGUGUCGGAGGGGUAAGCGGAAUUCCUAGUGUAGCGGUGAAAUGCGUAGAUAUUAGGAGGAACACCAGUGGCGAAGGCGGCUUACUGGACGAUAACUGACGCUGAGGCUCGAAAGCGUGGGGAGCAAACAGGAUUAGGUACCCUGGCAGUCCACGCCGUAAACGAUGAAUACUAGGUGUUGGGAAGCAUUGCUUCUCGG
rnacentral:rRNA from 1 species